AAUAGUGGCGAACGGGUGAGUAACACGUGGGCAAUCUGCCCUGCACUCUGGGACAAGCCCUGGAAACGGGGUCUAAUACCGGAUACUGACCCGCUUGGGCAUCUUGGCGGAUCGAAAGCUCCGGCGGUGCAGGAUGAGCCCGCGGCCUAUCAGCUAGUUGGUGAGGUAAUGGCUCACCAAGGCGACGACGGGUAGCCGGCCUGAGAGGGCGACCGGCCACACUGGGACUGAGACACGGCCCAGACUCCUACGGGAGGCAGCAGUGGGGAAUAUUGCACAAUGGGCGAAAGCCUGAUGCAGCGACGCCGCGUGAGGGAUGACGGCCUUCGGGUUGUAAACCUCUUUCAGCAGGGAAGAAGCGAAAGUGACGGUACCUGCAGAAGAAGCGCCGGCUAACUACGUGCCAGCAGCCGCGGUAAUACGUAGGGCGCGAGCGUUGUCCGGAAUUAUUGGGCGUAAAGAGCUCGUAGGCGGCUUGUCACGUCGGUUGUGAAAGCCCGGGGCUUAACCCCGGGUCUGCAGUCGAUACGGGCAGGCUAGAGUUCGGUAGGGGAGAUCGGAAUUCCUGGUGUAGCGGUGAAAUGCGCAGAUAUCAGGAGGAACACCGGUGGCGAAGGCGGAUCUCUGGGCCGAUACUGACGCUGAGGAGCGAAAGCGUGGGGAGCGAACAGGAUUAGAUACCCUGGUAGUCCACGCCGUAAACGGUGGGCACUAGGUGUGGGCGACAUUCCACGUCGUCCGUGCCGCAGCUAACGCAUUAAGU
rnacentral:rRNA from 1 species